rnacentral:rRNA from 1 species
AGUGAACGCUGGCGGUAGGCCUAACACAUGCAAGUCGAACGGCAGCACAGUAAGAGCUUGCUCUUACGGGUGGCGAGUGGCGGACGGGUGAGGAAUACAUCGGAAUCUACUUUUUCGUGGGGGAUAACGUAGGGAAACUUACGCUAAUACCGCAUACGACCUACGGGUGAAAGCAGGGGAUCUUCGGACCUUGCGCGAUUGAAUGAGCCGAUGUCGGAUUAGCUAGUUGGCGGGGUAAAGGCCCACCAAGGCGACGAUCCGUAGCUGGUCUGAGAGGAUGAUCGGCCACACUGGAACUGAGACACGGGCCAGACUCCUACGGGAGGCAGCAGUGGGGAAUAUUGGACAAUGGGCGCAAGCCUGAUCCAGCCAUACCGCGUGGGUGAAGAAGGCCGUCGGGUUGUAAAGCCCUUUUGUUGGGAAAGAAAAGCAGCAGGUUAAUACCCCGCUGUUCUGACGGUACCCAAAGAAUAAGCACCGGCUAACUUCG